UUUAAGUUUUUUUUUUCUUCUCUUUUAUUUCUCCUCCGUAGCUUUUCUCCCACCACCGCCGCAACCCAUUCUCCGUCCUCCGCCCGACGCCGCACCUUCCUCCGCCCGACGCCGCUGACGCUCCGCCGCCCUCUGUAUUCCCUCCCCAGAUCGGCGAGAGAAGGGAACGACGCCCUCUCUGCUCGCGCGCCCCCUUUCUGCUCGCACGAUUUUGUUCGUCGCCCACGAAGAACAAAAGGUUUCCGCCCCUCCACCGCGAGCAGAUCGCCAGAGCCGCCGUCUCCACGCGUCGCACCACUCGUUCCCUAUUCCCUCGCUGCGAGCAUCCGCCGCAAGACGUUGCCGCGACAAGCCCCGUUAUCUAGAGCAAGAUCACCAAGUAUUUCGCCGGCGACAACAAUACUUCCCGUCCCGCAACCGUCAUUCGGGCCUUACCCUUCAAGUUCCCACGGUCAUCCUCUUGGUUCGGAGAAGCCCCGUUCGUCCAGGUGCUCAGGCGCGAGGUAGCAAAAAAGCUUAGCACUUUGGGAGAAUGUUUUGCCUCAGCCUAAUCGAGCAUAACUUGCGUUUGCCUCCUCACUUGCUUAACCGUCCUCUUGUUGAUGCAAUCAAGGAUGAACUUGAGAGGCUGUACUUAGACAAGGUUAUCACAAAUUUGGGUCUCUGUAUCUCUGUCUAUGACAUUCAGUCUUUAGAAGGCGGUUUUAUCUACCCUGGAGAAGGUUCCUCCACAUAUAAGGUUGUGUUUAGGUUACUUAUCUUUCGACCAUUUGUUGGGGAGGUUAUUUGCGCAAAGCUUAAAGCAUCCGAUGCUACUGGUUUGCAUUUAACUCUUGGAUUUUUCAAUGACAUACAUGUUCCUGUGCAUCUAUUGCCAAAAGAAAGCGAAGUGGGAGAAGAUGGCAUAUGGGUGUGGAAGCAUGAAUUUGGAGACUUAGCUAUGGAUUUAGAUGAGGAGGUGAACGUCCGAGUGACAAAAAUUAACUAUCCUUCCAGCCCUCUGGAGCAAGAUGCCAAUGCACAACCUUUCGCUCCUAUGCAAAUUAUAGGUGAGAUCUAUGGAGAUGGCUUGGGUCUUAUUUCAUGGUGGGCAGAUUAAGGUUUAAGAAGAUCGCUUAUACCAUAGCCAACAUCAGUUUUUGCACCGUGAUGUGACCCUGGACAAAGACAUUCUCAUGUGUUCAAGUUAUAUUGACCUCCUGAAGUUUCUAGGACUCAAGUUUUUUUAUAAUAGACCUUAGACCAGUUUUGGCCAUCUUGAAGACUGCUGGCAGUAUUAGCCCUGGUUCUUUGUGGGAGCAUCUUUUUGUUGUUUUGUUGGGCUCUCAGUAUUGAUGCCAGGAGAGAGUAUGUGAGGAAUUGGUGUUCCAUGUGAUGCUCCUGACCGGUUUCAGUGUCGAUGCAUUUGGCACAUUGACCAUUUCUCUUGUGAUCUUGCUCCAUAUUUUGGUUCUACCAUGCAUCUACCAAGUUGUCGCUUGCGUUCACAGAUAGAUUCGGCAAAGGGUUUUUCUCAAGCUUGGUUUCUUUAAUGAGCCUUAUGCCACCCGCAUUUUUCUCAUUAUGAUUGCAAUUUGUUGGAGCUUAAGUGAAAUUGCUAGGCUAAGUUUUUUGAAAAUAAAAGGGGCAAACGAAAGGGGAGCGUCACCCUAGAUCGAUCGAUGGCGUUGUUUGGGGAAGCUCCGCCUGGCGAUCUCAAGGCCGGGGAGAAGAUCUUUAAGACCAAAUGUGCGCAGUGCCACACGCAAGGUCAACAGACACAUCUGAUACUUAGCUGCUAGUGGCUUCAGAUCAUCAAAUCUUAUUUGACAUGCAUUCAUAUUGAACAGAUUUCCGACAAGGCUUCUGAAAGCUUGCAUUUUUUGUGCACAGAUGCAGUGCAUUUGCGUUGGAAUGUAUCUCACAGCUUUUUUGUAAUACCUAAAAUGCAGUAUUAAGUUUAAAACCGGCCUUGUUCAAUCUUGAUGAUAGGAGGAGUUUCCUUUGUUCAUCAUUAAACGUACCCUUUGCUUUAAUUAAACUGAAUUAAUCCCUCGGUUA